UCGUAACCCUUUUUUUACCAAACCCAAUUUGCCGCGUCAAAUUUGCAUCAUUACAAUUUCUCUCCAAUUUUCAAUUCUUAGUUUCAUGAACGGGUCAUCGAUCUGUUUCUCAUAACAUCGUUAGAGUUCUACAAAAUAUGUUUCACUUAUGAAAAUUCUCAUUCAAUCAAGUCGCGAAUCUGCCACCGUGAGAUAUCGGUUGAUCCGCGAAUGAUCGUGUGUUUUUCUGCGAGGUUCGUGUUUGAAUCGGAGCAAUUAACACGGAAUCAAUUGUAUAAUUGUAGAAUGUAUGGUAACAAUCGUUUAGGAUAUUAAUUAAAUUUUGUAUCCCUUUCAAAUUCGGUUGGCGAGAUCAGAAGUUUAGGCUUAGCAACACAAGGUAUUUGACAAUUUGUUGUGUUUCUAUGUUAUUAAUUUGUUAAUUGUGAAUGGAUCUUUGCUAUGUCAGGUGCGCUUGCAUAGCAGAUCCGAAAAAUCUUAAUAAAAUUGAAGUUAUUUUGUUUUGAGAGGGGAGAGAUAGGUUUGGGGAUUUUUUUUUAUUUUUUUCCCCAACCUAUUUUUCUUUCCCUCUGUUGUGCGUGUGUGUCUUGUGUCUUCUCCUUUCUCUUUUCUAUUCUGUUAUUUUUUUCUUCUUUUAAUCUUCAAUGCACCCCACCGCACCGCACAUGAUAUGAUUCUAAUCAAUAAUAUCUCGUCGUUACAAAACCUAAUUCAACAAGUAAUCGCCGGCGUGUUGAUAGAUAAGGUAAUAUAAAAAGGACAUGAUUAUUUUAAUGUUAAAUAUUUUAAAAACUGUUUUAUACUAACAAUUAACUCGCAUACUAAAUUCAUGACAUUAUUUUACGGUGUAUUUGAUUAAAUUGAACGAUAUGGCUUUUAAUUCUACGAUAUGUUGUUUGUUGUUCACGCUUCAAUUUAUCCAAGGUAGACAUGUCCAAUAUUCUUCAUCAAUUGGCUAUUUUAUUUUAUCACUUACAUUUCAAUGUCAUUUUCGUUAUUUUUUGUAAUAAAUUUUGUGAACUUAAAUAUUGUUGCAAUUCAGUCAAACUUUUAACCAAAGGAACUUUCUAACAUGCACUUGGUUUUGUAGUGGUACACAUUCAACAAGUAUACUCCGAAGAGGGAAAAAUUACUGUCAAUUCAAUAUUCUAUAAUUUUAAUUCAAUUCAGUAUCUAUCAUAUAGAUAUAACUUUUCAUUACCACUUAAGAGUUUUGAAUUUUGUAGAAUAACUGAGUCGAAGUGGCAUUGGAUCAUCUGAAUUGUUUGUCUGGGCAAGCAAACUUAUUUAGUGAAUACAAAAAUAUAUGCAGAUGCAUAUGUCAGUUAAACAUAUAAUAUCAAGUUCUCAACUCAUGAAGUUUAUCUAAAUUUCGGUGUAUAUCUUUAUGUUGGUAAAGAUCUGAUAAACCAUCUUUGCUCAAUACUAUGACUGUUGAUACUGGUCGGCGAUUCUCUGCUGUAUCUUAUGCUCUUCAUUGGAUUUGUAAUUGGGUUUCUCGGGUUGGGAGUUUGUUGUAUGAAAUGUUUUAAAAAGCAGCUGAGGAGCUCACUAGCUGGUGAUUAGGGAUGGCUAUACGAACUGUAUCAAUUGCUUCUUCAUGUUGUAGUUAUCAUAUGGAUGAUUCAAGCUCUUUGGACAAAUUGUGCUACAGCUUUGUGAAGUAUUGGAGGUCAUUUGAUGCUUUGCUUGAGGUAUUUGUUUUCAUUGACCGUUCCUGAUUCAUGGCAAUGGAUUAAGUUAUAUCGAUUAUUUUAUUUGCUUUCUUUGUUGAAUUUUUCUAGUGUUUUGUCGUUUCAAAUAUGCAUAAUAGCCCUUUUUUAUCGAACAUUUAUUUCUAAGGUGAAUAUGUAGUUCUUUGUUUGGGAUUGCUCCAUUUUACAUUGUAAAAAGCCAUUUUGAAAGUGUUUAGGCACUAAUGCUCUUAAUGUUGUUUCAGAAUAUUGAUUUCAUAUAGGAAGAUGUGUUUAACAUUCAUUAGUCUGUAAUAUCGUAUGGUGUAAAUAUUCUAUGUGAUGCUUCGUGCUAGAGACUCGAGUGAAAGUUGUGCACAGUACAAGAGAUUUUGGCUUAAUGUCCUGCAUAAACAAUAAACUAUGAUGCUGGAGACUCGAGUGAAAGUUGUGUGCAGUACAAGAGAUUUUGGCUCUAUGUCCUGCAUAAACAAUAAACGAUUUUGCUGGAGACACGAGUGAAAGUUGUGUGCAGUACAAGAGAUUUUGGCUUUAUGUCCUGCUUAACAAUAAACGAUUCUGCGAUAUCCAAAAAUUUGUGAACUGUUUUGUGUAUUUUAUAUCCUUGGUCAUCAUUACUGAAUUUCUUCCACAUUGUUCCAUAAUCCUAGGAACACUGGUAUUUAUCUCUGUUUAUUUCAUCUUUAUUUUACUCUGAUUAUGUUAAAUUUUUGGUGAAUGUGUUGUUGUUUGGUUUUAACUUUUGAUAAUAUUUGCUGCACUGUAAUGACUUGGUAAUGCAGACAAUUUACUUCAA